AACGAACGCUGGCGGCAGGCUUAACACAUGCAAGUCGAACGCCCCGCAAGGGGAGUGGCAGACGGGUGAGUAACGCGUGGGAAUCUACCCAUCCCUACGGAACAACUCCGGGAAACUGGAGCUAAUACCGUAUACGCCCUUCGGGGGAAAGAUCUAUCGGGGAUGGAUGAGCCCGCGUUGGAUUAGCUAGUUGGUGGGGUAAAGGCCUACCAAGGCGACGAUCCAUAGCUGGUCUGAGAGGAUGAUCAGCCACAUUGGGACUGAGACACGGCCCAAACUCCUACGGGAGGCAGCAGUGGGGAAUAUUGGACAAUGGGCGCAAGCCUGAUCCAGCCAUGCCGCGUGAGUGAUGAAGGCCUUAGGGUUGUAAAGCUCUUUCACCGAUGAAGAUAAUGACGGUAGUCGGAGAAGAAGCCCCGGCUAACUUCGUGCCAGCAGCCGCCGUAA
rnacentral:rRNA from 1 species